UACGUAGGGUGCGAGCGUUGUCCGGAAUUAUUGGGCGUAAAGAGCUCGUAGGCGGUUUGUCGCGUCUGCUGUGAAAUCCCGAGGCUCAACCUCGGGCUUGCAGUGGGUACGGGCAGACUAGAGUGCGGUAGGGGAGACUGGAAUUCCUGGUGUAGCGGUGGAAUGCGCAGAUAUCAGGAGGAACACCGAUGGCGAAGGCAGGUCUCUGGGCCGCAACUGACGCUGAGGAGCGGAAAGCGUGGGGAGCGAACAGG
rnacentral:rRNA from 1 species